UCGUGUGCGCGUCGUGCGUGCCUCACCUCCGUCUGCGGGUUGGAGAGAGGAGAUGGAGUGGCAAAGUAUCUCGCGAGCUUCCCUUUCUGUAUUCAAUCUCCAUCGAUCUACUAUAGCCGCCGCCUCCUCCUCGAUCCAUGUGGUCGCCCUUUGCCGCCGUCACCGGAGAGGCUCGCCUCCGCGGCCGCACGCCUUAGAUCCGGCGGGAGGAAAAGGAGGAAGAGCCCCGCACUGUCCUGUUCUCCGGCGGCGGCGACCUACGCGCGAGCGAUGGGAGGCGAGGAGGAGAAAGAGGCGAGGUGGUGGAGGAGCAGCCGAGGUCGACGACGGCGUCCUUGGACGAGCACACGCACGGAAGGGAGGGGGAGGGGUGCAGCCGCUCGUGCGGAUCGAGGGGAAGGAGAAAGGUGCUGAUGCUGCCGGCUACUUGGGGAAGGGGAUGCGGGCGACCUUGGGCGAGUUAAGAGACCUGAGGCGAGGCCGGCGGCGACCUAUGGAAGGAAGGGGACGCCGACGACCUUGGGAAGGAAGGGGAAGCCGGCGACCUUGGGAAGGAGGGAGAGGCCGGCGAAUUGGGGUAGGGGAUGCGGGUGACCUGGGGAAGGGCGGAUGGGAGCUGCUCAGGCCGUCGUUGCUGUCGGCAGCCGGCGGCCACCGCCCGUCGCUUGGAGGACGAGGGGAAUGGAGAAAGAGGAGUCGUAUCGGGAAGGAGUUUUGGGCGAUGGGACGAGGGGAACAGCAGCCGCACCAGGCGACAUGCCUCGCCUUGCCGCUUGGUGGCCGAGAUGAGGCCGCCCCAUGCUCUGUUCCGAUGGGCCUCCUCUGCUCGAUGGUUGCACUGGUUGAGUUUGGUACGGUUUCCUGUUGUCGGCUGCGUCGAGCCUUGGGUCUUGUCUCUCCUUCACAUUGAGCCUUCUUCUCCUGUCGCCAGCGCUUCUUCUUCUCGUCUGUCCUGCUGCUAACCCAACGUGCUUCUGCUUGCUGCCUCGGGUUGUACGAUCUCUUCUGUUGCUGCGUCGUUCGACUCAUAAGGACAACGGUGAGAAGGGGCUCUUUGAGGCGGCUGCACUCGGUCCCCCCUGCAGCCACGCACCACAUCGUCCGGCCGCGUUGGUGUCGCUGCCGCCUCAGAGACCUGGAUGAUUCUGUUGUUGGCUUCUGCUAUACCUGAAGGAAACUAAAAAUUAUAAGUAGAAGGUACUCUACUUCUCAUGCAAGAUUGUAUCUUAUGUGAAGUGUGAAGUCAUCCCGGAGUUAUUCCCAAAUGGCGGCGGGAGGAGAAGGGAGCUGCAAGUGUCCGAGCAGUCGAUUGAACAGCUUGACCCAAAAUCUCCGGCGUGGACACGCAGGUAUGGUGACACUAGCAAUAUAGCGUUGCGGCGGAUGGCACACAUGACCAAGAGAUUCAGAUGUACAUGUAGAAAACGUCUUGAGGGUGUGAAAUUUGCAGAACUGACGGCUUUGCAGUAAGACUAUGGACGGCUGCUAGGUUUUGGUAAUGUAUGUGAAUAUGUGAUCUGCUGAAUAAAUGGUCAGCGCAUGUAGUAUAGAUUCAGAGUCUAUGCAUUCCUGAAUGCUGCAGCUCAAGUAUAUUCAGUCCUCUGUUCUGUGUUAGGAUUGAACCAUGAUUGUUUUAACGGGGUGUGAUUUUAAUUUGAUUGCUAGAUUCAUAAAAAUGAGGAUACACCCCUGGAGCAUAAGUAAACAUUAGAAUCUAACAGCACAGCUUGAUCAUGCUCGAAUAGGCACAUUAGGAUUGGAAAGGUGAAAAAUGCUAGAACAGGAAGCAAAACAGAGACAUAGCUCAGAGGGAAAACAAGUUUGGUGCAAUGCUGCCAUAAGGCGGCCAGUUCCGAUGUUAGAAUCGAACAACACAGCUUGAUCAUGCUCGAAUAGGCGCAUUAUGUGCUACUUGAGUGUAGCAGUUUUAAAUAUUUUGGAGAACUACAAUUAUUUACACGUGUGACAUUGACUGCAGGGUGAGGACAGGUGCCGCCGAAGAUAAUUCGAGGUUUCUCGGAAAAUCCAGGGGACAAUGUCAUAGUGUGUAACAGUUUUAAAUAUUUUUGGAGAACUACAAUUAUUUACACGUGUGACAUUGACUGCAGGGUGAGGACAGGUGCUGCCGAAGAUAAUUCGAGGUUUCUCGGAAAAUCCAGGGGACAAUGUCAUAGUACUGACAUUGGGGACGAGUUUUGAUACUUCGGGAGAAGCCUAUGACUUUUACAACCUGUGCUUUUGGGAUAAGCGAUUCGGCAUUAGUAGGAAGACUGAAAGACAGUUAAUGGGAAAAUUAGUGGUGUGAUUGAAUAAGUAGUUUCAUGGUUCUGAUGUCUGAUGUAUGAUUAGAGCAUUUUCUCUUAUGGUGUACUGAAUUAUUAAAGAUUGUGUGUGAAUUGUUAAGAUGCAAUUUUUCUA